rnacentral:lncRNA from 1 species
GGACGGGUUCGGGCCCAAAAUGUUCAUCCGGCCCAAACCACGGUUUAUAUAUGGAGGCUCACACCGACCCAUUUCUUCCAUGCGGGUUUGGCGGGUUCGGGUUACUCGGUUUUGCGGUUUUGCGGGUCGGUUUUUGCGGAUAAAAAUAAACAACAAAUUCUGCACAAAAAAUAAAGUAACUGAAAAAAAAAUUCUUAAUGUACAAACCGAAAAAUAAGUAUCAACUUUAGAUCUGUACUCUACGGACAUCAAAGAAGAAAGAUCCUUCACCAAAAAAAAAAAGAAGAUUAAAGAUCGAAAAUUUGGAACAAAAACUUAAAAUAUUUUAAAAAUUUGAAAAGAAAAAGAAAACUAAGAAAAAGAGAAAAGAGGAAGGGAGUAAGGACCAUGACAGAUUUAGUUAAGCAAGCUGCAUAUGAAGAAGGAAUGAAAAAGAUGGAGUUUUUGCAGUUAUCUGAAUGAAAUCAGAGAGAGAUUGUGUAGUUGUGAUGUGAUGAGUUUAAAAGGAAAUAAUGUUAAAAUGGAAAGUAAAUUUAAUACGGAAUAUAAUAAGAAAUAUUAAUAAUAGUAGUUAAUAGUACCUACUACCUAGUAUGCUAGUACACGUGAUUGUCCAGCUAUUCAAAAUUGAAUGCAUUCAUCAUUUAUCAU